AGGUCUCACUGUCGCUGCCCACGUGAGCAUUGAAGUCUCCCAGGAGGAUGAGGGAGUCCCUAGAGGGAGCGUUCUCCAGUACCCCCUCCAAAGACUCCAAAAAGGGUGGGUACUCUGAAAUGCCAUUCGGUGCAUAGGCUCAGACGACAGUCAGGACCCGUCCCCCCACCCAAAGGCAAAGGGAGGCUACCCUCUCAUCCACCGGGGUGAACCCCAAUGUACAUGCGCCGAGCCGGGGGUAAACAAGCAUUCCCACUCCAGCUCUGCGCCUCUCGCCGGGGACAGCUCCAGAGUGGUAGAGCGUCCAGCCCCUCUCAAUGCGUCGAGGCGAGCCUGACUAUAUGUAGCCAGUACCUCUGAACCUCACGCACCAGCUCAGGCUAGGUGCUCCGCCAGAGAGGUGACGUUCCACAUCCCCAGAGCCAGCUUCUGCAAUGCGCUUUGUCUGGUCCCUUACCUGGGACCUGAUUGCCUUAGGUGAUCCUACCAGGGGCAUGAAGCCCCCGACAACAUAGCUCCUGGGAUCAUUGGAACACGCAAACCCCUCCACCGUGGUAAGGUGGCAGAUCCAGGAGGGGUGUAUCCAGUGUUAUUUUAUUAACUUCAGCAUCUAUGUAUGAUAUGAAUUUUAGUUGACUAACACAAGGUCAGUUGUAUUCUUGCUUCUGGCUAUCAAAAGGGCUUUUUCAUGGAAAAUGGGCAACUUGGCAUGAACGCAGGGAAAAGUUGGACUACAUCCAUAGCUACAGAGAUGCAGUGAUAACCGUUUCCAUCCAGGCUCGCUGAAUUCAAGGGCUGAUGCAGAGGCUGUAUUAGACUUGGCAAAACAGGCAGCAAAUAUUCACUCCAUAUCACAUGUACAGGUAAUACCACUGGAAAGGCCCAUCUGGGAGCCAUGCACCUACAACAGAGCAUCAUCGAUCCUGGCCGGUGCAAAAAAGAGACUUGGGCUCGGAAAGCUUGAACCGCCAAUA